rnacentral:rRNA from 1 species
UACGGAGGGUGCGAGCGUUGUCCGGAAUCACUGGGCGUAAAGGGCGCGUAGGCGGCCUGAUAAGUAGGGGGUGAAAUCCUGCGGCUUAACCGCAGGGCUGCCUUCUAACUGUCGGGCUAGAGCACGGUAGAGGCAGAUGGAAUUCCCGGUGUAGCGGUGGAAUGCGUAGAGAUCGGGAAGAACAUCAGUGGCGAAGGCGGUCUGCUGGGCCGUUGCUGACGCUGAGGCGCGACAGCGUGGGGAGCAAACAGG